UCCAUUGAACAUUUCGAAGGGCUAUUAUGAAAAUAUUUAUUUAUUUAAAUAUUUUUAAACAAAUAAUAGCAUCAAAUUUGUUCAUAUAACAAAUGUAUAUACGGUGGCUUUUUAAAUUUUUCAUUUUAAAAGUGUCAAUCCAUAUAUAUCACAGCGCA
rnacentral:sRNA from 1 species